GCCGCUGGAGCCGUGAGCCGUGCCUUUUGGAGAUGGCAACAGAAAUACUGGAAGCGGCUGGAAAUUGCCCUGUUCUUCCAGAUCAUCGUCGGCGGAAUGGUAUUUUUCUAUGCCAUCAACAGCGGCAAACAGUAGCACCACAGGAACUACAA
rfam:Aedes aegypti strain Liverpool cont1.3143, whole genome shotgun sequence.